rnacentral:rRNA from 1 species
AGUGAACGCUGGCGGUAGGCCUAACACAUGCAAGUCGAACGGCAGCACAGUAAGAGCUUGCUCUUACGGGUGGCGAGUGGCGGACGGGUGAGGAAUACAUCGGAAUCUACUUUUUCGUGGGGGAUAACGUAGGGAAACUUACGCUAAUACCGCAUACGACCUACGGGUGAAAGCAGGGGAUCUUCGGACCUUGCGCGAUUGAAUGAGCCGAUGUCGGAUUAGCUAGUUGGCGGGGUAAAGGCCCACCAAGGCGACGAUCCGUAGCUGGUCUGAGAGGAUGAUCAGCCACCCUGGAACUGGGACCCCGUCCCGGCUCCUACGGGAGGCCGCAGUGGGGAAUAUUGGACAAUGGGCGCAAGCCUGAUCCAGCCCUACCGCGUGGGUGAAGAAGGCCUUCGGGUUUUAAAGCCCUUUUGUUGGGAAAGAAAAGCAGCAGGUUAAUACCCCGCUGUUCUGACGGUACCCAAAGAAUAAGCACCGGCUAACUUCGUG